rnacentral:rRNA from 1 species
AGCGAACGCUGGCGGCAUGCUUAACACAUGCAAGUCGCACGGGCAGCAAUGUCAGUGGCGGACGGGUGAGUAACGCGUAGGAACGUGUCCUGAGGUGGGGGACAACCCCGGGAAACUGGGGCUAAUACCGCAUAUGGGCUGAGGCCCAAAGCCGAGAGGCGCCUUUGGAGCGGCCUGCGUCCGAUUAGGUAGUUGGUGGGGUAAAGGCCUACCAAGCCUGCGAUCGGUAGCUGGUCUGAGAGGACGACCAGCCACACUAGGACUGAGACACGGCCCAGACUCCUACGGGAGGCAGCAGUGGGGAAUAUUGGACAAUGGGCGAAAGCCUGAUCCAGCAAUGCCGCGUGGGUGAAGAAGGUCUUCGGAUCGUAAAGCCCUUUCGACGGGGACGAUGAUGACGGUACCCGUAGAAGAAGCCCCGGCUAACUUCGUG